rnacentral:rRNA from 1 species
AUUGAACGCUGGCGGCAUGCCUUACACAUGCAAGUCGAACGGCAGCACGGGUGCUUGCCCCUGGUGGCGAGUGGCGAACGGGUGAGUAAUACAUCGGAACAUGUCCUGUAGUGGGGGAUAGCCCGGCGAAAGCCGGAUUAAUACCGCAUACGAUCUACGUAUGAAAGCGGGGGACCUUCGGGCCUCGCGCUAUAGGGUUGGCCGAUGGCUGAUUAGCUAGUUGGUGGGGUAAAGGCCUACCAAGGCGACGAUCAGUAGCUGGUCUGAGAGGACGACCAGCCACACGGGGACUGAGACACGGCCCAGACUCCUACGGGAGGCAGCAGUGGGGAAUUUUGGACAAUGGGCGAAAGCCUGAUCCAGCAAUGCCGCGUGUGUGAAGAAGGCCUUCGGGUUGUAAAGCACUUUUGUCCGGAAAGAAAUCCUUGGCCCUAAUACGGUCGGGGGAUGACGGUACCGGAAGAAUAAGCACCGGCUAACUACGUG